UUUUUUUUUUUUUUUUUUUUUUUUGGUGUUUUUGAGACAGGGUUUCUCUGUAUAGCCCUGGCUGUCCUGGAACUCACUUUGUAGACCAGGCUGGCCUCCAACUCAGAAAUCCGCCUGCCUCUUCCUCCCAAGUGCGCCACUACACCUGGCCCUAUUUUGGCAAUUUUUAAUAGAUGUAUAGUUGUAUUUCAUUGUUGUUUUAUAUUAAUCUUCCCCCAAAACACAUGUUAAAUAUUUUUUCAUGUUCAUUUUCCAUUUAUGUUUCUUCUUUAGUGAGGUAUCUCUUCAGAUACUUUAGCCAGUUUAAAAUCAAGUACAUCUAUAUAUGGUAUAAUAAUCUUUUAUCUAAUAUUUGUUUUUCAAGUUUUUUUCUUACAGUGUGUAGUUUUUCUUUUCCUUUUUGAUAAGAAUGUAUUUUGUAUAAUAGAAGUUUUAUGCUUUACUGAAGUCUAUUAAUCAUUCUUUUUAUAGAUCAUCAUUAUACCUUAAGUUUACUAGAUUUCCUUUUAGGUAAUCUUUUAGGAGUUUUAAUGUUUUAUAUUUUUACACAUAACACUGGUCCAUUUUAGGUUAACAAUGCAUUUAAAGUUAAUUGUUUGGGUUUGAAGUCUGUUUAUAGACUUCUUAUCUACUAGUUAUGUUGAACUUAGAAACUCAUAUAUGUUAGGCAAACACUCUAACACUCUAUCAAUGGAACCAUGUAUGUCAGUUCUAUAUUCAUUUUAUUUGAGACAGGGUCUUAUUUUAAAGUCCUGAUUGACCACUUAAUUGGUUUGUAGACCCAACAGGCCUUUGCCUCUUGAAUGCUAGAACUAAAGAUAUGUAGGCACCUACAUAUCUUCUAUUUUAAAUUUUGCUUUUGCAUGUGUAUGUCCUGUCUGGUGGUGAUUCUUGAAAGAUUUAUAUUUUCUUUGUUAGAUCUUCUUUGGUUCUUUGCCAAAGAUAAAUGGUUGUAUUAAUAUGUAUCCAUUUAUGAGAUCUUAUUUGAUUAUACUGAUUAAAGUCUAUUAUUUUACCAGUAGCACAUUGUUUUUAUGACUUGAGGUUUAUAGAAAGUCUUUGUGGUUUCUACAAUAUAUUUUGAUCAUGGUUUCUCCUUCCCAUCUUCUUCUACUUCAUGGGGAUUUAGAAUCACCAUAGAAACAAUCUCUUGGCAUGUCUGUGAGGUAUUGCCCCAAUUAAGUUAACUGAGAUAGGAAAAAACAACCUAAAUGUGGGUGGUGUCAUCCACAGACUUUGGUCGAUGACUGAAUAAAUAAAAGCAAGAAAGUGGGCUGAGUACAGGAAUUCACCUCUUUCUCUUCUCUGUGGCCACAGUGUGAUCAGUGAGUUCCUACUCUUGUGCCUUCAUGCUGUGGUGGAUUAGAUACCCUAGAAUUGUCAUAGGAAAUACAUUCUUCCUUGAGUUGCUUUUGUCAGGUAUUUUGUCACAGCAAUGAGACAAAUAAUUAAUACAGCCUUGAAAUUCGUAGUAAUGUAUUACUGCCUUCAUUAUUUUCUAAUAUUGAGUUUGUUAUUUUAUAUCAUUUGUCUCUCAAUAUAAACUUCAGAAAUAGUUUUUUUUUUAAUAGUCACAACAUAAAGGUUGUUAAGGUAUUUUUUUGGGGGGAGGGGGAGGCUGUAUUAUAUUUAUUGGUCAAAUUGGGAAGAAAACCUUGUAACUAUUGGGUCUUUGUAUCCUUGAAUCCAGAAAUCAUUUCUAUUUGCUUAUGCUUUUAUUUAUUUCAUCAGAGUUUUCUAGUUUUCUUGAUAGACAUCUUAUAUAAAUUUUAUUAGAUUGUUACCUCCUUAACAUCAAAUACAUGUCAAUGUAAAUUGUAACCUGUUUGAAGUUUCAACUUGUGCUUUGGUUUUAGAACAGGUUUAUUGGAAGAAUUUGGGAAAAAUGUAGAUAAGAAUUAAGGAAAAGCCCUAAAAUUCUAUAACCAGAACUAAAUGGGUUAUUUGGUCAGACCCUUAUACUGAGAGGGAGGUGACCAGCCAAGACUGCUCAUGAAGAUGGAAAUGAGGAUUCUGUUAGUAAGUGGACUAGAGGUUAUUCAUGUUGCUAUAGCAAAUAACCUUUCUAGAUUUUUUCUGUGCUCUAAGACUUUUGUUAAAUUUGAAGGUGUUAGACUAAUUAUCCAGGUAGAAGGUAUUUCUACACAAUGCAGCAUUCAUAUUACAAUAUGGGUUAUGCUUGCUUCUUUUAGCCAGAUUUGUAGUGAAAACCAGAAGGAAAAAGUAAAGAAAAAAAUAAUCGAAAACUUGAGUUUUCACGGAAAGUUGAGGCAAGACAGGUAUAGCUUUCAUAAAGUUGAGGCCAAGAGAGGUUAACCUGCCAAAGAGACUAGGCUUCAUAAAAGCAAGCCAACUAGGUGUCAAAGAGGUUGUUCAGUGAGGAUUAUUCUGAAAUCAUAUCCAGCUUUAAGAGGGAAGAACCUGAACACCUUAUACAAGUUACUACAUAUACAAGCACACUCAAACACACAGACACAGGCACAGGCACAGACACUCAGGCAAGACAACCCCCCUUGCAAACAAACAAUCUAAAAAGUGAACUACACAUAGCAGGACAGCAGGAAAGUUGCUUUAAGUGUAUAUCAGGCACUGUCUAGCAGCACUUUAUACAGGGUCAGGAGCAUAAAGAUUUAACUAAUUUUAUUUAAAUACUUUGCUUUGAGAAGAAACUAUUGGUUAUUUUUCUUACUUGGGACUGGAGAGAUGGAUCAGCAGUUAAGAGCACUUGUUACUCUUGAAACUUUAGUCCAGUCCAUUAUACAGAAGGCAAAGUGUUGAGAACAUCAGAUAUUUAGUCACUUUUUAAAAAUAAGUUUAUUUUGUGUGUGUAUUCCUUUGAUUUAGUUGCUAUGAUUUUUUUCUUUAUUUUUCUUUUAGCCAACAUAAUAUCCCUAUUGAUUCUUUGGAAAAUUCAUAUACUGUACCCCGAUGAUGAUCACACUCACUUUCCGUUUCUCUCAGGUCCACCUUUCCACCUGUGCAAACUCUCCCC
rnacentral:lncRNA from 1 species